UCCGGCGGUAAUAGCGGAGGGGAAACACCCGUUCCCAUCCCGAACACGGAAGUUAAGCCCUCCAGCGCCGAUGGUACUACACUGGCGACGGUGUGGGAGAGUAGGACACUGCCGGGA
rfam:Nitrospinae bacterium RIFCSPLOWO2_01_FTLL_39_10 rifcsplowo2_01_scaffold_30341, whole genome shotgun sequence.